CGCUUCUAGAGUUUUCUGGGAAUGUCUCCCCUUCCCGCCCAGCUCUUCCUCUUUUAUUUGCGUGCCCAGCUCUCUCCUCCCUUAUUUUUCCGUCUUCUGUAUGACGAAACCCGAGCAACAUCCAGAAACCCCACUCUGUCCUUCGUUCCCAUCUGAAGCCCUAGUUCGUAGCAUUCGACCAUGUACAGAGCGGCGGCCAGUCUCGCCUCCAAAGCCCGAUGAAAUGGGCGGUAGAAUUGGCGCGAGAACAAGAAAUGCGGAUCGUUCUUAGGUUUUCUUUGAGGUUCCGGGAUUGCUGGCAAAAUUGGCGAACAGAUUGGCAGCAGGCUGGCUGGAGCAGAAACUAUGCGGCGAAGGACAUGAAAUUUGGAGUUAGGCUCGCGCUUUGAUGCUCAAGGGUGUCAAGAAGUUGCAGAUGCGGUCAAGGUGUCGAUGGCGCCUAAGCGACGUAAUGUUGUUUUGGAGCAAAGCUUUGGUGCACCAAAAGUUACAAAAGAUGGUGCGAGUGUCACAAAGAGCGAUGAGUUCAAGGACAGAGUAGAACAUGGGAGCCAGCCUUGUCGGUAGGUUGCUAAUGCAGCUAGUGAUGUUGCUGGUGAUGCAAUCUUUAUUUUCUCAAAUGGCGGGAAUUGUGCGGCUCUACAGCGUCUCUUUAAAAAUGUGUCGUGGCAGUAAAUUUUGCAGAAGAGGCAGUGAAGUGGAUGUCGGCGGGAAAAGGGUGGGGUACCCGAUGCGCCGUUGAAGAGGGAAUUGUACCAGGUACCUUUGGAUCCGUUUGGCGUCGUUGCUGGUUUUAUUGUUUUUUUCCCCACUACAAGUUGGUGAAAAAUCACAUGGCAAUCGAUUUGGCCGAAACUUUAACCAUACCUGGCUUUUAUUUUUCUUUUUCUCUUCGGAGGAUCGGGGCUCAAAUAAGUCAGAAUACCUUGAAGGUUCGUUCUAUCGUGAUUUUUGUUUAUUUGAAUAUCAAUAAGCUCGUUUUUCCUCUUUUUGUAACCCACGGCUAUACAUACCUCAAACUGCAGAUGCAGAACAUACAAUAGCUUCCAGUGCUUGGAAUAGAGGGGGUUGUAGAUGUUGGCAAGCUUUUGGAGCAGGACCAUCCGGAUCUUCGCUAUGGUGCAGCCAAAGUCGGAAUUGAGUAGUUGAAUAGCUACCGUCGUAGCUGUAGCCUCUAUGCACGGUGGUUAUUAUGGUUGUGGUCAGCACUGCAUGAUCAUGCUGCUGAUAGAUUUGAUUGGGCGACAGGUUUCCGUAAGGCUAUUGUUUCUUCUGAAGUCGGAGUUGGUAGGUGGUAUUCCCGCAUCUGGUUAUAGUAUCUGUUUUACGUGUUUCCCCGUUAAUGACAACAAACGAGGCUGCCAACGUCUUCGCGAGGAUGACAUCUAAUAAGUUUAAUAGAGUUACCUAUCCGACUUGGGGAGCGCAUAUGUGCUCUGUGAUCUGUAGUUUACCAGAUUUAUUUGGUUCUCUUAUUUGAUGCAAGCUUCUUUUAGCAUUUAACACUGAUACAUAGUUUACCAGGAAAAUUACCCCUUAAUACAUGAAAGGGUAACUAAAGUUUUGAUUGACAUAAAGUACAGGUUUAUAAAUAAUAAAAUAAAUUUUUCAAAAAUGUGCUCACAGAUUAUCAUAGCUAAAAUCAAAAUCAUAGAAAUGUUGAUGUUUUCAAAUGUUCAUAAAAAGAAUAUGUCAAUUAAGCUAUCUAAGAGAGUGGGCAUAUAAAAAGCAAGCCAGUGUUACCACACCCAAAAGAAAAUUCUUCUAAAUAUCAUUGUUAGCAUAUUACUAAGAAGUAACGGUCCGUAUGAUUUUGAUUGAUAAAGAUAUAUAAUAAAGGGUUAUUUGGAGUUUUAUUUAUUGUUUACUCAUUGGGUUGCAAUUUAAGAUUAUCUUGUGAUUGGUCUGACUUGAGGUCAAAAUGAUAGCUAAAUGAGUUAUGACCACAUGAGUUUGUAUGUUAACUUUAA